AGUCCUGUAGCUCAAUGGUGGAGCGGGUUCCUUACAAGAACAGGGUUGCGGGUUCAAAUCCUGCUAGGACUACCA
rnacentral:tRNA from 1 species